rfam:Xenopus laevis strain J chromosome 1S, whole genome shotgun sequence.
GCACAGAUGAUGAGAACACGUGACUAUGAGAAAUCCAGUGAUAGUGUAAACGCUUACUGAUGUG